CGGCGGACGGGUGAGUAACACGUGGAUAACCUACCUAUAAGACUGGGAUAACUUCGGGAAACCGGAGCUAAUACCGGAUAAUAUUUUGAACCGAAUGGUUCAAAAGUAAAAGACGGUCUUGCUGUCACUUAUAGAUGGAUCCGCGCUGCAUUAGCUAGUUGGUAAGGUAACGGCUUACCAAGGCAACGAUGCAUAGCCGACCUGAGAGGGUGAUCGGCCACACUGGAACUGAGACACGGUCCAG
rnacentral:rRNA from 1 species